GACGAACGCUGGCGGCGUGCUUAACACAUGCAAGUCGAGCGGUAAGGCCCCUUGGGGUACACGAGCGGCGAACGGGUGAGUAACACGUGAGUAAUCUGCCUUUGGCUUGGGAAUAACUUCGGGAAAUCGGGGCUAAUGCCUGAUGUUUACUGUCUGCUGCAUGGUGGGUGGUGGAAAGAUUUUUUGGCCAGGGAUGAGCUCGCGGUCUAUCAGCUUGUUGGUGGGGUAAUGGCUUACCAAGGCUUUGACGGGUAGCCGGCCUGAGAGGGUGUUCGGCCACACUGGGACUGAGACACGGCCCAGACUCCUACGGGAGGCAGCAGUGGGGAAUAUUGCGCAAUGGGCGUAAGCCUGACGCAGCGACG
rnacentral:rRNA from 1 species